GACGAACGCUGGCGGCGUGCUUAACACAUGCAAGUCGAACGGAAAGGCCCUGCUUUUGUGGGGUGCUCGAGUGGCGAACGGGUGAGUAACACGUGAGUAACCUGCCCUUGACUUUGGGAUAACUUCAGGAAACUGGGGCUAAUACCGGAUAGGAGCUCCUGCUGCAUGGUGGGGGUUGGAAAGUUUCGGCGGUUGGGGAUGGACUCGCGGCUUAUCAGCUUGUUGGUGGGGUAGUGGCUUACCAAGGCUUUGACGGGUAGCCGGCCUGAGAGGGUGACCGGCCACAUUGGGACUGAGAUACGGCCCAGACUCCUACGGGAGGCAGCAGUGGGGAAUAUUGCACAAUGGGCGGAAGCCUGAUGCAGCAACGCCGCGUGCGGGAUGACGGCCUUCGGGUUGUAAACCGCCUUCGCCUGUGACGAGGCGUGAGUGACGGUAAUGGGUAAAGAAGCACCGGCUAACUACGUG
rnacentral:rRNA from 1 species